AUACGGAGGGUGCAAGCGUUAAUCGGAAUUACUGGGCGUAAAGGGAGCGUAGGCGGGAAGGCAAGUUGGAUGUGAAAACUGAGGGCUCAACCGACAGACUGCAUUCAAAACUGUUUUUCUUGAGUGAAGUAGAGGUAAGCGGAAUUCCUAGUGUAGCGGUGAAAUGCGUAGAUAUUAGGAGGAACACCAGUGGCGAAGGCGGCGAGCUGAGCUUUUACGGACGCUGAGGCUGGAAAGAGUGGAGAGCAAUCAGGAUUGGAUACCCUGGUAGUCCACCCCGUAAACGAUGAUUACUAGGUGUGGGGGCGUCAAGCUUCCGUGCCGGAGUUAAAACAAUUAGUAAUCCCCCUGGGGAGUACGGCCGCAAGGUUGAAACUCAAAUGAAUUGACGGGG
rnacentral:rRNA from 1 species